CUCUACUAUGUGGAGGCAGGAAAC
rnacentral:piRNA from 1 species